ACAGCCUCAAAAUUUCAGCAGCUUACCCCAGUGAAAGUUUAUAUCUUCCUCACAUAAAGACAAAAUGAGUAUUUCAGAUCAGAGGGCAGCUGCUCUUCGGAUGAAAUUCAGGGACCCAAUUAGCCGGGCGUGGUAGCGGGCGCCUGUAGUCCCAGCUACUCGGGAGGCUGAGGCAGGAGAAUGGCGUGAACCCGGGAGGCGGAGCUUGCAGUGAGCCGAGAUCGCGCCACUGCACUCCAGCCUGGGUGACAGAGCGAGACUCCGUCUCAAAAAAAAAAAAAAAAAAAAAAGAAAUUCAGGGACCCAGGUUACUUCCUUCUUCUUGUAGGAAAAACUCGGUUCUUGCGACACGACGAGGAAAGAUUAGGCACGGAGACACUUUGAAGGGUGAGAAGUUACGGAAUGUAUUGGGUGAAAAGGAAAAAGAUUCUCAACAAAGUGAGAGGGGCUCCUGAGUGAGAGGGGCUCCUGUUAACAGGCCCCCACGUCACAGACUAACUUGCCGGUUACCGCACAGGAACGGGAGGGGCCGACUCCUCCCCAUGCAAACAGCGGCAGCUUCCCGAGGCCCCACCGCUUCCUCCCAGCGCGUAGGCCAAUGGGAGAUUUCUCCAGGUGUGUAUUUGUUCAUUCGCGCACUGCUAUAAAGAAAUACCUGAGACUGGGUAAUUUAUAAAGAAAAGAAGUUAAUUGACUCAGUUCUGCAGGCAAUACAGGAAGCAAGAUGCUGUCAUCCGCUUGGCUUCAGAAAGGAUCGUUAUUCACUGUUAAAUCACUUCUCAGUUUCUCUGGAUAUAAAGGGCUUGUCAUAUGCAACAAGAGGUGAUGUUCCAGGUCAAAUAGUAAGAGGGAGCUGGAGAUGUGGAAGAAAAGAAGCAAGGGGGACUUUAAGAAGAUAGGGAUCAGGGGUUGCCGCGAGGCCUCUGGGUGGGGCCCUCAUCUUGUACGUGCAUCAGGCCCAAAAACUUAAUUUCACCUCUGACUGUGAUCAACAUAUUGAUGAAGACUGGCUAUGUGGAUGCUGGAAGAUGGGGAAAACUUGUUUCAAGCUGAACAUUAUCCUUGCCAUUAGCUUGCCUAAAGAGGCUGGAUUCAUCUGGGCAGUUUUCACUGCUGCAAGUUAGGCACCUUAUUUCGCAAGGUGCAAGUAGCGUGGAAGAGAAAAGCAAAGUUCAUAGACAGAACUUCCAAGAACAAAGAUCUCUGAAUUGGGAUGAAAUUCUAACUGCCAGAUUUGCUCCCUGUGUCUCUCUUGAUAUGUUUUCUACUUAUUAUGGAGUGACAGUUGUUGUGGAUGGGAGGAUUGAAAAUGGGAAGAACUAAUCAAAGAUAUAAUGUUGUGGAAAGGACUGAUAAGCUACACAAACCUGUGUCAUAUUAUUCUUUUUCUUGGAGCUCAGCAUGAGAGCAGGCAAUAACAGGAGAAUAACUUCAAAAAAAUCUUUAAAACCAGACUCAUUGUCUUCAUUCCUAGGACUUACAGAGACCAAAGCUCCUGAAGUACCAUCAUUCUACCAUGGAUACUGUGAAGUGGUACCACCGUAAAUCUAUGUCCUCUAACGUCAGUGGACUGUCAAGUGAGCCAACAGUCCUCUUCUGCAUGUUUGAUAAACUCUUACUUUCCCCACAGCUAUUUCGAAUUCAUCAAGACCCCUCUCUACCCAUCUUCCCUCUUAUUCCAAUGCCCUAAUGCAUUGUUUUCCUAUCUGUCUGUCACUAAUACCUGACCCAGUAGAGAGUCAUGGAAGUAAUUCAGCUGGUUACAGCCUGC
rnacentral:lncRNA from 1 species